CCCCUUAGAUGUCCUGGGCCGCACGCGCGUUACACUGAUGCAUUCAACGAGCUUAUAACCUUGGCCGAGAGGCCUGGGCAAUCUUGUUAACGUGCAUCGUGAUAGGGAUAGAUUAUUGAAAUUAUUAAUCUUGAACGAGGAAUUCCUAGUAAACGCAGAUCAUCAAUCUGCAUUGAUUACGUCCCUGCCCUUUGUACACACCGCCCGUCGCACCUACCGAUUGGAUGGUCCGGUGAAGCCUCGGGAUUGUGGUUCUUGCCGCUUUAUUGUGGCGUGACCGCGAGAACUUGUCUAAACCUUAUCAUCUAGAGGAAGGUGAAGUCGUAACA
rnacentral:rRNA from 1 species